rnacentral:rRNA from 1 species
UUUUUCUGGUCUGUGGCUGCUGCUUGUGCGUACGUUCUUCUUUUCUUUCUUUGUUUGUUUCUGUUUUUUUUUUUUGUGUUUUCUGUUUUGUGCUUUCUUUUCUCUUUGUUUUUUUUGUUCUCUUCUUUUUUUUUUCGUCUGUUUCUCUCUCGUUUUGUGUUUUUUUUUUUUUUCUUUUGUUUCUCCUUUUUUUGUGGAAAGUAAAAGUCGUAACAAGGUUUCCGUAGGUGAACCUGCGGAAGGAUCAUUAC